rnacentral:rRNA from 1 species
CCUACGGGGGGCUGCAGUGAGGAAUAUUGGUCAAUGGGCGUAAGCCUGAACCAGCCAUCCCGCGUGCAGGAAGAAGGCGCUAUGCGUCGUAAACUGCUUUUCCAGGGGAAGAAAACCCGCUACGUGUAGUGGCUUGCCGGUACCCUGGGAAUAAGCAUCGGCUAACUCCGUGCCAGCAGCCGCGGUAAUACGGAGGAUGCGAGCGUUAUCCGGUUUUAUGGGGUUGUAGGGGGGUGAAUACGGAUUAAGUGAAAACCUUCAGCUUAACUGGAGACUUGCCAUUGAUACUGUUAGUCUUGAGUACGGUCAAGGUAGGCGGAAUGUGUAAUGUAGCGGUGAAAUGCUUAGAUAUUACACAGAACACCGAUUGCGAAGGCAGCUUACUGGGCCAUUACUGACGCUGAUGCACGAAAGCGUGGGGAGCGAACAGGAUUAGAUACCCUUGUAGUC